UCACAUCUAAGAGCAAGAAAAUAGCCAACUUAUUGCAAUUAUGUAUGGCUGACAAUGAUUCAUUGCUUAACAUGGAAGUGAAGUAUGACAGCGAAUAUGUGUUAUUGUUGAAGACCUUUUGUGAUGCUCGGAAUCCCAAAAGACAGUAUUGGAAUUGUCCACUAUAUGGUAUAAUUUGUUUGUUCAAAGUUCAAUUUAAACUCAUCUUUUGUGUCUAGUUUUUAUCCUUCUUACUUUUAUAUUUUAAUGAAUUUAAUUACUAUUGCAGGGGCCUCAGGCUUGCAUAUUUUUCCUUUAGAGAGAUCUAGAUAUUUGUCUCUGAUCGCAUUUCUUCAUCUCUAAACUUGUUGCUCAAAUUAAUCAAUUACAACUGUAGUUGGAAUCUCGUAAUAAUGAGGGCGAUCCAAUUGAUUACGAGCAGGCUGCAACCGUUGAGGACGGUGAUGUUCAACCAAAAGAAUGGUAUAAUGUAAAUGUGAAUGUCCAUUCGGAUAAGAAAAAUAGAGAAGGGAGCGCAAAAGUCGAGGUUCUAGAGGAAGAGGGGCGUAGAAGUCCAACUUAGAAGGGUACAUUUGAUUUUACUAUUUUUUUUAAGUUAUGAACUUAUAUUAAUUCAUCUAUUUUUUUAUAAAAUAUUAGUUCAUCUAUGUUUAUUUUAUUUUUGAUACGCAUAAUUUUUGUUCGCUUAUUUUUUCUAUCUUGAUAUUUAUCCGGGUCAUAAAAAGCUAUUGAUCCUCAUACAUGAUUUGAUUGAUAAUAAAAG
rnacentral:lncRNA from 1 species